GAUGAACGCUGGCGGCGUGCCUAAUACAUGCAAGUCGAGCGAACAGACGAGGAGCUUGCUCCUCUGACGUUAGCGGCGGACGGGUGAGUAACACGUGGAUAACCUACCUAUAAGACUGGGAUAACUUCGGGAAACCGGAGCUAAUACCGGAUAAUAUAUUGAACCGCAUGGUUCAAUAGUGAAAGACGGUUUUGCUGUCACUUAUAGAUGGAUCCGCGCCGCAUUAGCUAGUUGGUAAGGUAACGGCUUACCAAGGCAACGAUGCGUAGCCGACCUGAGAGGAUGAUCAGGCACAAUGGGACUGAGACACGGCCCAGACGCCUACGGAAGGCAGCAGUGGGGAAUAGUGGACAAUGGGCGGAAGCCUGAUCCAGCAAUGCCGCGUGAGUGAUGGAGGCCUUAGGGUUGUAAAGCUCUUUUACCAGGGAUGAUAAUGACAGUACCGGGAGAAUAAGCUCCGGCUAACUCCGU
rnacentral:rRNA from 1 species